CAGCAGCCGCGGGAAUACGGAGGAUCCAAGCGUUAUCCGGAAUCAUUGGGUUUAAAGGGUUCGUAGGCGGUCUUGUAAGUCAGUGGUGAAAGCCCAUCGCUCAACGGUGGAACGGCCAUUGAUACUGCAGGACUUGAAUUAUUGGGAAGUAACUAGAAUAUGUAGUGUAGCGGUGAAAUGCUUAGAGAUUACAUGGAAUACCAAUUGCGAAGGCAGGUUACUACCAAUUGAUUGACGCUGAUGGACGAAAGCGUGGGUAGCGAACAGGAUUAGAUACCCCGGUAGUCCUGUCUCUUAUACA
rnacentral:rRNA from 1 species